UUAGAAGCUGGGGGAGGUAUGGCCAAGAGCACAAACUUACUUCUGUGUGGGCUUUCUUGCUUGGUCUUUGUCAUGAGGACACAAGAUUCUUCAGGCUAUGAUCCAUGUGCAGCCCAUCCCUGCCAUGCUUCUGCUUCCUGUGUCUUCAAGAAACAAAAAUACUACUGUCAUUGCUUAGAAGGGUAUGUCUCAACCACAGGAGAAAAAACUUUCACAGACCGGAACGUCAAAUGCACAGGUGAUUCUGGGCUUGUAG
ensembl:lncRNA